AGAUACUGUACUGGGAUAUGAGAGAGGAUUCUUGAUUGCUGUUAAUCAUAUGCCAACAGAAAUAAAACAAUGGUAUAUUAUUUACACCUCUUACAUUGCUGUCUGUAUGAGACAGGUCACAUAAGUCAUGUCCUGUGACUUGUUGCCACAAUUUUGAGGCAGAGAAAUAUUAAACUGCUGUAAGAACUGAAAAAGAAUUUCCCUUAAACACAGACCCAGGUCCAUCGAUGGCAUCAGACGUUCUUGCUUGAUGGGAGGGAGCCAAGGCCUCUACAGAGAAGUCACUGCCCAGUUCUUCUCAUCAAACUACACAUGUGAAAAGGCCUGAUCCUGCAAGCACCAGCUGGCACAGUUGUGCAACCCGUUCUCUCGUGCCCAACGUGCAUGUGCUCAUGCCAAAGCAACCACCAGCCCUGGCCCCAGCUGAGCGCUCUCGUUCCUCCUUGCUGCAGGGCAAUGCUCUCAGACGUGUGCAGAGAAGGGAUGACAAUUUGCUGGCCUGGAAGGGGACCAAGCGCGUGUCUCCUGGGUAAGCUGGCUUGCACGUUAAGUGGAAACUUUCAUUAUUUACCAACCAGACAAAAUGAUUUUGCUAUUGACAGAGGCUUCAUUAUGUCAGCCGUUCCGUUCUUUGAAAACAUGGACAAAACAGAGAGAGAGUGGUAGCAGGGAGGGGGAAAUUCCAUUUCUUCCUAAAUUGAGUGGAAACAUCUUCAGGAAAAUUAAAGAAAAACCCGAGAGGAGGAGAAGAGCAAAAGAAAUAACUGUAGCCAAAGCCACUUUCCUUUUUCUUUUUCAAUCUCCUUUCCAACAUGCUCCUGGUAAAAUCAUUACAAAGGCCGUUUAUUUUUAAAAUUGAAAGAUUGGGGAGAGUCAUAAUGAGAUAUUAUGUGUAAAAGUUGCACAUAAAUUUCCUUCUGUCAUAUUUUGGGCUCGCCUAACGCAUCCCCUUGGCAGGCCUGAGGGAAGCUGAUCGCUUUAGUAUAGAUUGUGUGUGCUUCAAUAAUAUUGCCCAAGGACAGAGCUACUGGGUGGCUGAGUUGGCUACAUGCUGAUUUAAAAAUUAGCUGGGCUUUUAUUGGCCACAGUAAAUUGUUCUCAAAAAGAGAAAAAAAGUUUUAUACGGAAUGGAGAAGCAUGUUUGGAGCAAGACUCCUCUCCUUUGUCUUAGGGAAUGCAAUUUUUCACUCACUGGAAAGCUUUUUGUUCUUUCUCACCUUUAUGGAGAGCUGUGGAAGAAAGGCGAUGUGCUUGGGGUGUGUGGGAUGUAGGAAAAAGUCCUACAUUGAGUGUCUGGGCUCUGGAGUCUUUCCUUAGGGGUCUCUCCACAAAGAUCUUAAGGAUAUGGACACAACAUUAUUCUACAGCCUGGUCUCACUCUCAGGUCAAAAGGAUGAAAAGCUCUGUCUUCCUUUUUUAAGCAAAUGGACUCAAAAUGCCAUAAAUUUAUUACAGAAAAAUCCUAAAUUAUUUUAGGUACUGUGUUUGUGAAGUACUGUGAAAUUUGCCAUCACGUAUACAGUCUGGGAUGUUUCCUUUCAGUCAUGGGCUUGUCCUCACCUUUUUUUUUUUUUUUUCUGCUGAGUUUGGUAGGCCCUGAUUAAGGUUUUAUUCUCUAAUUUGUAUUUUGUCGUUAUUGUCCCCAUCUCUCUGUUUCUGAGGUCUUAGCGCUUCCAGGAUCUCAGCAGAGUGAGGGUUCUCCGCAGCUGCCAAGAGUUGGGGCAUUUCCUUUUCCUUUCCUUUCUUGGCCUAAACCAGAAACUGGUCUUCAAGGAGGAUAAAGACCAUCAAAGUGCACAAAAAUAAAUAGUAAUUCAUAACAGUCUUUGCUAAUAUUCUUAAUUUAGAGCUCUGGAGUCCAAGUCCUAGCCACAUCUCCUCUGUAUUCCAUUUUUAUGGAGCAUUUGACCUAUUUACUCACUUUUUGACCUAGCAGGAUGAAGAAAUAUAAGAUGGAAAAUACAUGACCAAAAUGAGAGGUUUAAAUAAAGAGCUUUUAGUGUGGGAGAAGGCCAAAUUCAUUGCAACUGUAAACAUGUUUUUUUGAUGUGAUCCAUAUCUGAGUACCCUUAUACUUUGGGCAAAUUUGAGUGAAUCUGAGCUCUGCGUUCAGUCUGUGUCUCAGUCCUGUGCCAGACAAAAACCUAAAUUGGAACUUGGAAUACCAAUACUUUAUCUCAAUUGCUUCAGAUAAUCGUCCUCUGAACCAAACCUCCCAAGCUCGUCCCAUUGGGAGUUACAGUUAAUUAAAUUAAGAUUUCACUUCUCUUCGCCGAUAUCUUCAUCUCUGGGUAGCAGCCUUGGGCAAGGUUGAAAGUGAAACUUGCUUCCUGUGCUUCAAGGCAGCUUUGACUAAAAUUGACUCCAGAAUCAAAAGCACCAUGUGCAGCUAUUAAAGCACUCUCACCACAAGCUGCUCUGCCAGCAUUUCUGAAUACCUGGUUCCUACAGGUAACCCAGCGCGCUUUCAUCUUGUCUGAAUUGUAAAAGAACACAUCAGGGUUUAUUAAAGAGUUUGUGUUGCUAACGUGUCAUACAUCAUGCCAUUAAUUAAGAGAAAUUCCUUUUUCCCCAGUUGGGUGGCUGCAUAACGCUGCCAGCAUUUAUAUAUUAUCCAUCUCUCCCCACCCUGGCCUAACCCAAGCGCUGCAUGACUGAUUGUACCCCAGAGAAGCUCCAGCUUCUUCAGGUAAUUUGAUUGCUGAGUCUCCAAAACUAACGAAUUAAAGAAACCUCCGUGCUGGGCUCUGCUCCCCUUGUAAUUAGUACCAGAGCAAAAUGGGGUGCGGCGGGUACAUGUGUUCCCAAUCACAGCCCACACAAUGAAAAUGUUUUCUUUCUGGGACAAUCUGAAGAAACCUCGUGGGGAUUUGGGGCUUUUAUAUAUAUGUGUAUGUAAUAAUAAUAAUUAUCCUCAUUAGAAAGCUAACUCCAAAGCUCGGCGACGUGCUUGAAAAAUUGGUGGGAGAGCCGCCUAGUGUGCCAGGCACUAAGAGCCCACGCAUGACCUCUUGCAUCACUUGGGGUGCUCAGGGCAGCACGUUUGGGGAUGGACACAGACUGUCCUUUGUCCUUCUCUUUUCCCACCGUGGGCAGCACAUGGAAAAUGGUUGCUUUUAUAACAUUUUUCCAUCCUGCUUUGAUCAUGCAGGAUUUCAUUUACUCAGGGUGGUCAAAAAAGCAGCACGCAGUCACCCAGCAGCCCCCCAGCUCUCUGCUUCUCACUGACACUGCCCCUCUGACUUCCUGGGGACCAGGGACACAUAAUGGGACGCCGGGCCGUUACUGUACAGAGGGUAGCAAUAUUCUCCCUCAGACUGAGCCCCAGGGUAUAAUUAGAGCUGCUGUGGAAUUUUUGUCAUUAAAAGUCUUUUGGUUGGAAAAUGGCAAUUCUUUGAAAAAAAAAACUUUUUCAGAGUUAGAGGGAAAAGUUUCUCGUGUCAAAGAGGGACAAACUCUGGAAUAACUACCAGCCUUGGGUAAAGGGGACCUGUGCUCAAGUCCCAGCUCCAGUGGAAAUACAGAUUACUGAUAUAU